AAGUUGGUAGUGAAAGCGUGUGGCUCAACCAUACACACAUUACCAAAACUGCUCAGCUUGAGUAUGGUAGAGGUAACUGGAAUUCCCUGUGUAGGAGUGAAAUCCGUAGAUAUAGGGAGGAACACCAAUGGCGUAGGCAGGUUACUGGACCAUUACUGACACUAAGGCACGAAAGCGUGGGGAGCAAACGGGAUUAGAUACCCCGGUAGUCCACGCCGUAAACUAUGGAUGCUA
rnacentral:rRNA from 1 species